GCCCGCUACAGAAACGUUAAAGGAAUUGACGGGGCCGCACAAGCGGUGGAGCAUGUGGUUUAAUUCGACGCAACGCGCAGAACCUUACCUGGGCUUGACAUCCCGAUCGCUACCUUUUGGAAACUUAAGGGUCAGUUCGGCUGGAUCGGUGACAGGUGCUGCAUGGCUGUCGUCAGCUCGUGUUGUGAGAUGUUGGGUUAAGUCCCGCAACGAGCGCAACCCUCGUCCUUAGUUGCCAGCAUUAAGUUGGGCACUCUAAGGAGACUGCCGGUGUUAAACCGGAGGAAGGCGGGGAUGACGUCAAGUCCUCAUGGCCCUUAUGUCCAGGGCUACACACGUGCUACAAUGGCCGGUACAAAGGGUAGCAAGACCGCGAGGUGGAGCCAACCCCAAAAAGCCGGUCUCAGUUCGGAUUGUAGUCUGCAACUCGACUCCAUGAAGUUGGAAUCGCUAGUAAUCGUGGAUCAGCAUGCCACGGUGAAUACGUUCCCGGGCCUU
rnacentral:rRNA from 1 species